AGCCUGCAUCUUUCACCCCUGCUGGAUGCCUCCUGCCCUUGAACAUCAGACUCCAAGUUCUUCAGUUUUGGGACUGGCUCUCCUUGCUCCUCAGCUUGCAGAGAGCCUAUUGAGCCUAUUGUGGGACCUUGUGAUCGUAGGCAUUUUCUCAUAAACAAAUGGUGGCUGAGAAAGCUGAGAAGAGAUGAUGACAAUCUUUUGAGGCUGGGGAGAAAAAUGAAGUUCACAACUCAGCAAAGAGGAUGGGCUCUGGUAAGUG
rnacentral:lncRNA from 1 species